rnacentral:rRNA from 1 species
GGCGGACGGGUGAGUAACACGUGGGCAACCUGCCUCUAUCCGGGGGAUAACAUCGGGAAACCGGUGCUAAUACCGCAUAACAUCGCGUCACCGCAUGGCGGUGCGAUCAAAGGAGCAAUCCGGAAAGAGAUGGGCCCGCGUCCGAUUAGAUAGUUGGUGGGGUAACGGCCUACCAAGUCUGCGAUCGGUAGCCGGACUGAGAGGUUGAUCGGCCACAUUGGGACUGAGAUACGGCCCAGACUCCUACGGGGGGCAGCAGUGGGGAAUAUUGCACAAUGGGGGAAACCCUGAUGCAGCAACGCCGCGUGAAGGAUGAAGGUUUUCGGAUUGUAAACUUCUUUGACCGGGGACGAAACAAAUGACGGUACCCGGAAAACAAGCCACGGCUAACUACGUGCCAGCAGCCGCGGUAAUACGUAGGUGGCGAGCGUUGUCCGGAAUUACUGGGUGUAAAGGGCGUGUAGGCGGGUCUGCAAGUCAGAUGUGAAAUUCCGGGGCUUAACCCCGGCGCUGCAUUUGAAACUGCGGGUCUUGAGUAUCGGAGAGGGAAGUGGAAUUCC